GGCGCUAUAGUGUAGUGGCUAUCACUCAGGAUUCUGAUUUCAAAUCAGCUUGUUGAUCAUCUUCCUGUAACCCAGGUUCGAACCCUGGUAGUGCCU